rnacentral:rRNA from 1 species
UUAAAGGGCUGCAGUAUAUUGACUGUACAAAGGUAGCAUAAUCAUUAGUCAUUUAAUUGAUGACUUGUAUGAAGGAUUGGAUGAAAUAUAAACUGUCUCUUAAUUAUAUUUAGAAUUUAAUUUUUUAAUUAAAAAGUUAAAAUAAAUUAGAAAGACGAGAAGACCCUGUAGAGUUUUAUAAAUAAAAUUAAUUGAGAUUAUAUGUAAAAGUUAAAAUUAAGAUUAAUUUAUUUAUUUUGUUGGGGUGACAGAAAAAUAUAAAAAACUUUUUAUAUAUUUAAAACGUUGAUAAGUGGUUAAAUGAUCCAAUAUUAUUGAUUAUAAGAAAAAAUUACCUUAGGGAUAACAGCGUAAUUUUUUUUUUUAGUUCAUAUAAAAAAAAAAGUUUGCGACCUCGAUGUUGGAUUAAGAUAAAAUUUAAAUGCAGAAG